AUUGAACGCUGGCGGCAGGCUUAACACAUGCAAGUCGAACGGUAACAUAAAGAAGCUUGCUUCUUUGAUGACGAGUGGCGGACGGGUGAGUAAUGCUUGGGAAUCUAGCUUAUGGAGGGGGAUAACUACGGGAAACUGUAGCUAAUACCGCGUAAUAUCGAAAGAUUAAAGUGUGGGACCUUCGGGCCACAUGCCAUAGGAUGAGCCCAAGUGGGAUUAGGUAGUUGGUGAGGUAAAGGCUCACCAAGCCGACGAUCUCUAGCUGGUCUGAGAGGAUGACCAGCCACACUGGGACUGAGACACGGCCCAGACUCCUACGGGAGGCAGCAGUGGGGAAUAUUGCGCAAUGGGGGCAACCCUGACGCAGCCAUGCCGCGUGAAUGAAGAAGGCCUUCGGGUUGUAAAGUUCUUUCGGUAGCGAGGAAGGCAUUUAGUUUAAUAGACUAGGUGAUUGACGUUAACUA
rnacentral:rRNA from 1 species